GUCUUGGUCGAUUAGUGGUUAAAUCAUCUCGUUGUGGUCAGACUUAGGUGGAUUGCACAACCGAGAAGCCGAGGGCUCGACUCCCUCCCGAGACA